AUGGAUCCGAGCAAGCACAAGCCGUCCCGCCCCGCGCCCUCCCACGGCGGCGGCCGCGCUGCCUACCGCGGGGAGACCUCGUCCUCGUCGUCGCUGCGGCCGCCACCGCAGCAGCAGCAGGGGCACGUGAUUCCGCCCGUGCCGCUGCCGGAGGCGAGCCUGCCUGUGGAUCAUGGGGCGGACGCGUUUCCCUCCGAGCUCGAGUCGCAGGGGCGAAGGAUGGGGGAGCUGUACUUGAGGGAUUCGCUGCCGCGCCGCGUGCGGGUGGAUCCGUCCCGGAGCGCCGUGUACGGCUACGAGCCGGCCCAUCCCACGCCCCCGCACCCCCGCGUCCACGACGACGAGACGACGCGCGGCGGCGCCUCGGUCGUCUCGUCGAUACAGCAGCAGCCGGGACCGAUCCCGCCGCUGCACCCGCAGUUUGGGGCGCCGCAGCACCUCUACGGGCGGAGCGAGACCUCCUCGAGCGGCGCCGCUCCGGUUGGCACCGCGCGACCGUCCGCAGUGGACCUGUUCUACGGGCGGCGCGGGACCUCCUCGAGCGGCGCCGCUCCAGUUGGCACGGCGCGACCGUCCGCAGUCGAGCUGUUCUACGGGCGGCGCGAGACCUCGUCGAGCAGCGCCGCUCCGGUUGGCACCGCGCGACCGUCCGCAGUCGAGCUGUUCUACGGGCGGCGCGGGACCUCCUCGAGCAGCGCCGCUCCAGUUGGCACCGCGCGACCGUCCGCAGUCGAGCUGUUCUACGGCCCACCUCCAUCUGAAGCCGCGCUCGCAGCGACCGCCCACCUAUUGCCCACAGCGUCGUCGUCUAGGCAGCAGAGGCUGGAGAAGAUCCGAUCGGAGUCGCUCCGUUCCCCGAUGACGCUUGAGCAGCUGCUGAUGUCCCGCUCGGCGUUGGUGGUCCAACUGCUCGAGCAGGUUGACGAGGAGAUACGCCGCAGGGUGCUCGGCUGGUUCGUGCACCGCGCGCACGAGAUCAUGGGGAACAGGCAGGGGCAUGCGGAGUUCGCCACGCUGCUGCGCAUCUGCCGCUGGCGGCAUGAGGAGCUCCGCAGCAUCGUGGAGGCCGCCAUCACGCCCAACCUCGUCUCAAGGUCCAACGACGGGGUGACUUCUCUGAAGAUGCUCAUUGCCGAGGUGGCGCGGCACUGGGACCUGUCCGAGCGGCUCGUCGGCAGCUUCGUGAAUGAGCGCGUGAUGGACGAGCCCGGAGGGAACGAACUGAUUGCUCACUGUUUCACCACGAUGCCUUACGAGGCGACCAAGGCUCUGAUCCGGCACGCCCUGGACACCAUCAAUGACAAGCUGGAGUCAGAGUUCGGGUCGAGGUGCCUGGCAGUAUGCUUCAGGAACGCGCGAGCUGACGAGCUCAAGGACUUCGAGAAGGUCGUCUGUGAAGACGCCAUAGCAAUGGCCAUGGGCCAAUACAGCAACUACUUCAUGCAGGGCGUCCUGGAGCAUGGGGACAUAGGUGUACAGUACGCCGUCGUGGAUCAGCUCAUGACGGAAGUCGCCAGUCUGUGCUGCCACCGGUACGGGCACUACGUCCUGCAGUCUUGCAUCCUGAAGACCGGCGAUUACCGGGGCGAGCUGCUGCGGCGUCUGAUCCAGGAGCUUGAACGGCUGGGCGAUACACAGCUCGCCGGGCUGGUGAAGAACCGCUUCGGCAGUCGCGUCCUCAGCCGCCUGCUCGACACGGCCGAAACUCCUCGCUUCAGGAACGAGCGCUGGGGUUGGGAGCUGGCCCAGAGGAUCCGGCGCGCAUCGGCGGCCCACCUGGGGCCUGACCUGGAGAAGACUAACGCAAAGCGGGUGAUGAAGUCCGUAGACCGGAUGGGGCUGUAG
rnacentral:rRNA from 1 species